GGCUUUGGGCGGGGCUGCGUGGUGACGUUACGCGUGCGCGGCUCGCUGCUGUGACCGUAACUUUAAGCACACGGCACAGGCGCCGUGCAGGGCUAUUCCGAGUCCAGGUAGAGAUGGCUGAGCUCGGUGGCAGGAGAUCAGCCUGCGGUGGAGCAGGGACGUUUGCCCUGGGGAGACACGUGCCACCGGGUGGACAUCGAGGCCCUGUGGGUGGCCCUACAGCGUGGAAGGGAUGACCGAGCUUUGGGACAUGUCCUGGUAAGUCAGUUGUGGAAGCUCGGUGGCCGGUGAAGCCAAACUCCGUAUCUUGAAUUCAUUUUCAGGACUAAUUCUCUCCCCUAGACUUCUGGGGACUGGGAGACUGCAGUAUGGGUCGUGCAGGAUUGGAGUGAUAUACUUAGCAAGCCUCCAGCGUGCUUGGGUCUGCAGUGACCCUGUGCAUUCCUACAGUGCUUGCCAGAACAAUUUUGAAGUGGUUUGAGGCCUUGCCCUGCCCUCUCCAGAGCAAGGUUAUAGAAAUUUCAGACAAUAUGGCA
rnacentral:lncRNA from 1 species